rnacentral:rRNA from 1 species
GACGUAGGGCGCGAGCGUUGUCCGGAUUUAUUGGGCGUAAAGAGCUCGUAGGCGGCUUGUCGCGUCGACCGUGAAAACUUGGGGCUCAACCCCAAGCCUGCGGUCGAUACGGGCAGGCUCGAGUUCGGUAGGGGAGACUGGAAUUCCUGGUGUAGCGGUGAAAUGCGCAGAUAUCAGGAGGAACACCGGUGGCGAAGGCGGGUCUCUGGGCCGAUACUGACGCUGAGGCGCGAAAGCUAGGGGAGCAAACAGG